rnacentral:rRNA from 1 species
UAAUACAUGGGGUGCAAACGUUGCUCGGAAUUAUUGGGCGUAAAGCGCGCGUAGGCGGUUACUCAAGUCGGAUGUGAAAGCCCUCGGCUUAACUGAGGAAGUGCACCCGAAACUGAGUAGCUAGAGUACUAAAGAGGGUCGCGGAAUUCCCGGUGUAGAGGUGAAAUUCGUAGAUAUCGGGAGGAACACCGGUGGCGAAGGCGGCGACCUGGGUAGAUACUGACGCUGAGGCGCGAAAGCGUGGGGAGCAAACAGGAUUAGAUACCCUGGUAGUCCACGCCGUAAACGAUGGGUGCUAGAUGUUUCUGGUAUUGACCCCGGAGGCGUCGUAGCUAACGCGUUAAGCACCCCGCCUGGGGAGUACGGCCGCAAGGCUA